GAUCAGACACAGUGCUGAAAGACCAUAUCCGGAGCCACUCUCCUCCGAGGAUCGCAAACAGGAUUAAGUCUCCAAUUCGACUGAGUCCGAGAGUAUGAUUACAAAAUAAAAGUGAUGCACCGGGCUGCAUGAUGGGAUGCAUAGCAGAGCAAAUGCUACUUGUGACUUCAGAAAUGGGUGAAAGGUCCCCCAGUCUGAAAUUUUCCCCCAGUUCUCUCCUCCUCAACACGAACCAGAUGUGUGCUCCCAGGGCUGGACCCUCUCUCUCUUUCUCUCUCUCCCUCUUUGGCUCCCCCUCAGCCCACCCCCACCCUUUG